UCGACAUUAUUUUCUAUAAAUAGGUACUUUAUACUUUGCCAAUGUUAGAACAUCCUUCAAACAACCAUCAUUUGGCUUUCUGCGAGCAGAUGGAAUUUACGCACUAGCAUCGCCGCCGACGCGACGGGAGUUUGGAGCUCCCAAUUAUAUAAUAAUUGGAGCUUCCAGCAGACUGCCAGACUAUCAAACAAAACCCCAUCUAUUUUCCGGCGAAACCUUUUAGUGUGACCCCGUGGGGUCGCUUUCGCGUUCUACCACGACGCCCGGCCCCCGAGAAGCGCACGUACGCUAAAGAAGCCUGUAAGGCUGUUGCAGCAAUAUGAGUGUUACCCGGCCGGCGCGGCGGCCCCGCAACGCAGUGAGGGCCUGCGGCUUGACGCUGGUGACAUCAUCGCUUACGUGAGACAGAGGAUAACAAUAGUUUUUAAAAAUUUGCUUUUAUGUGCUUUCAUUAAUACUAAUAAAGAUGUUAUAAAUUUA